rnacentral:lncRNA from 1 species
AUUUGGGUUGUGGUUGAAAUAGAAUAACAAAUAAAAUUAGAUUGUGUUUAAAUGAGAAAUGGAACAACGAAUCGUCUGAAAAAAUUUGGUUUGUCAUUAAAAUGCAAAUCAAAAAUUAGAUAAUUUGAAAUAUUUGAAAUUUUGAAAAAAAAAUUCAUUCAAGAAGAUGAGGAGAAUAAUGAAGCGCGAGAAGUAAAAGAUAUUUGUGAGAAGGGAUUUUGAAUAAUUUAUUCUAAAAUUAGUUAAAUCAAAAUGAACAUUUAGAUUUUUUUUUUUAAAAAAAUUGAUUAAGAGAAAUGAGAGUAAUGAAAAGAGUAAAGAGAGAUGUUCGUCAGAGAGAAUUUUAUCUAGUUUAUUUUGGAGUAUGCUAAUUAGAAAAAUCAUAAAUAGAUUGGAUCAUUUCAAAACUCAUUUUUAUUUCAAAAUGAACUAGAAAUUAAAAUUCAAUUCCCUUUUUUGAAAAAGGGCCAGCAUCAAAAUUAAGGGAUCGUUUGGUUGUAUCUAGUUGCAACUGUACGACAAUUGUAACUAUAUGCAAAUACAAAUUUUGUAUUUGAUUUGAUGUAUUUAACUCCAACUGUUAUAAUAUGAACUGCAGGGGGAAGUCCAACUGCAACAGUUGAAGAGAGCAAAUUUAAACAAAAGGUAAACUUAUCUCUUUAAUUAUUUUUUAUUUAGUAAUCUUACUAUCAUAAAUAUAAAAUAAUAAAAUUUUAAUACUAAUUUCUCAACUGUAUGCAACCAAAUAAAUUAUUUAUAGUUAGAGUGGUUUCUACAACAUCCAACCAAACAUAAUGCAUAUAGUUAUAAGGGUGUGUUUGGUUCGCGCUAUCUUUUUAAGAUUUCUAGUAAUGCAACGGGAAUAAGAAAAUAUGACGGUGUUUGGCUAAAGGCACUAAAUAAUCUAGUUGGUAAUAUUAGAUUCACUUGGGAAUGAGAUUUAUCCCAAAGUACUAAUCUCAUUCCCUUGCGGGAGAGUGGGUAUCCUCAUAUUAAUGAAUUGGGUAAUUAUAAUAUGUUUAAUCUCUUUCUUUCUUCCUACCCGCCAGCUAGUAAGUAUUAUUAUCCUUUAUACUCUAACCUCAUAUCUCUGUCUAAACUUAUCUUUUUCUCUCUAAACUUCAACUCUUUUUCUCUCUCUAAACUAAGCUCUCUCUCCCCCUCUUUUUCUAAAAUUUCAACUCCCUCACUCACUCUAAUCUCGACUCUAUUUCUCUUCUUAUUAUUUAAUUAUGCUCUCUCUCUCUCUAACCUAUAUUUUCUCUCCAUUUUUUCUAAAAAGAUGUUGAAAUUUUUGAUAGCAUUAUCUAAAAUUUAUUAAAAAAAUAAAUAAAUAAGUUGUAUAUUUUUUGUAAACUUAAAUAAUAUAACUAAAUAAUAUGACCGUGCGAACCAAACACAUGAAUGCCACAUUCUAAGUAAUAGAAUGAAUAGGAAUAAAAUUUUUGGAUAUCUUUUUACUCCUACUAAUCUUUCAUAGUGCGAACCAAACGUGCCCUAAUAAUUAUCUUUUCAACUGCAUACAUCUCCAACUAUAUUUACUGCAUUUAUAACAUCCCCUAAUUAAUCUUGUUCAGAUUCCAU